CAGUAGCCGCGGUAAUACGGAGGAUCCAAGCGUUAUCCGGAAUCAUUGGGUUUAAAGGGUCCGUAGGCGGUUUAGUAAGUCAGUGGUGAAAGCCCAUCGCUCAACGGUGGAACGGCCAUUGAUACUGCUGAACUUGAAUUAUUAGGAAGUAACUAGAAUAUGUAGUGUAGCGGUGAAAUGCUUAGAGAUUACAUGGAAUACCAAUUGCGAAGGCAGGUUACUACUAAUUGAUUGACGCUGAUGGACGAAAGCGUGGGGAGCGAACAGGAUUAGAUACCCCAGUAGUCCCUGUCUCUUAUAC
rnacentral:rRNA from 1 species